rnacentral:lncRNA from 1 species
AUUUCCAUGGUUUCAAGCUUCAAGUGCAGGAAAGACUCACUAGACAGAUUGUUGAAACUAUUUAUUUCGCAUAGGCCAUGACCUCUGGUUCAUACUCCGCAUAGGCCAUUUUGGAUCUUCAUUUUGAAACCUCUGGUUCUCCUAGGCCAUGACCUCAAAGGCUCGAACUGGAAACAGAUCUGGUCUUCGCCGCCACCACCUCUCGCCGUCCUCCUCUCCGCCUCCGUCUCCGUCAUCCGCAGCAGCCGUCUUCGUCUCGGUCGUGGUUGCCGCCUUGCCGGUCGCCGGUGAAACCACUUCGCUUUUCUAUGGAUUAGCUAUUUGGAAGAUUAGCUAUUUGAAAGAUCUGAAGAUCUGGACCACUACUCUUCUAUCUAGAAUUCUAGAUAGUUCGGUAAUAUUAGUGGCAACAGAUCAUUAUAUUUGUUCGGUAAUUCGGAUAUCCGAACAAUGUAUUUUUUAAAACCGAACCCGAAACCGAAUACCGAGUAAUAAAUCGGAUAUAACCGAAAUUGGAAAAAAAACCGAAAAACCGAAAUAAUUUGGUUAAAAAAAUUCGGUUGUGUUCGGUAAUUCGGUUUUAUCCGUUUUUUGCUCAGUCCUGAUUUUGAGUGGAGAGAAAACAGCGUUGGAUGAAUUAUGCCCCUUUAUUUUUCCUUUAAAUAUUUAAUUCUCAUAAUCAAACUACACAACAAUAUUUAAACAAUAUUUCAAGUAAAUUUAAUAUUUCCAUAAGUUGCUCUUCACAUGAAUAAUAAGUAGAUUAUGACAAUAAGCUAUAAAUGAGUCAAACAGUUCGGGCUCAACUCAAAUUCGUUAAUAAAAUAAUUCAAAUCUGAGUAUAAAAAUAAUUCGAAUAAAAAAUUAAUAGAAUUUUGAUCAAGUUUAUACUCGACUCAUUUAAGAUUAAAACUACUCAAAUUAUUGAUUAUGAUUCGAUACAGAUUCAAUUAGAUACUUGAUAUAUUCUCUUAUAAUAUAUAUAAAAUUAAAUCAAAUUAGGAUAAUUAGUUAUUAUUAUUAUUAGUAUUUUGUUUUGUUUUUAAUUUUAAUUGUGAUUUAUAUUUGUAAAGUGUAAUAGUAAAUAUUUUUUUAUUUUUAAGCAAAAUAAAAAAUAUAAUUUAUAAUUAUAUUUAUUAUAAACUAAUUAUUAUGUAGAUAAUCGAAUUCGAACUUAAUUUUGAAGUUUGCAAUCACUUUGAAUAUAAUUCGAUCCGAAUCGGAUCGAAUCCGAGUAAUAAAUAUUCGAGUUGAGUCAAAUUUGAGUAAAAAUUUUGAAAUACAAUUAAAAUUAAUUUAACGUUUCGAGUCGAACUUGAGCGACUUCGGUUCAACAUAUUUACACCUUAUGUGAGAAAAACAUCGUAAAACUAUAAAAUUUAAGUAUCAAUUCUCUUUACAUAAUUAUUAUAACUAGACUCAUUCUUUUAUCUAAUUUUGGGUUUCUUCUCAUGUGUUUUUUUAUAGCAAGUCUACUAUCACAUAAAAUCGCUCAUAUACAUUCACAUGCAUAUUUUAAUAUACAAAGCAAGUCAUGUGAGUUAUCAAAAUAUGCAUGUGACUGUAUAUUUAUAUCUGAACGUUUUUAUGUGAUAGUAAACUUAUUUUUUUUUUAUCCUUAGUCAUGAAACUUCUUUUUAUUAAAAAAAUAUGCUAAUUCAAAAAACAAAACCAAACACAGACAUUCUCUCAAUCAUAUACUACGGGAGAGCAAGCGUGAUAGUAACUUUUAAACUUUUGGUUUCCACCACUAUUAUUUAUCUUUCUUAAUUUCUCACCCACUAAAAUUUAUUUUUUAUUUUUUAUUUACACACAUACGUGCGUGUGCCACGUAACUAAUUAGUAUAAAUUAAUUACAUAAUAAAUGUAGAGAAAAAAGUUGCACAAACUGAAAAUAUAAACUUACACUAUAUCUAAUUAUUGGUAUCUACUUUUAGCCAAUUAACAAGAUAAAAUCUCAUUGACCUACAUAUUUGUAAGUAUUAUAAUCCCAAAUUUAAUAAGUGAUUUUAUAAUUUUUAAACUAAUAAUUUUAAAUCUAAAUUUAAAAACAAAUAAGAUACUUAUGAUCAUAUUCCAAAUAUAAUUCUUAAAAACAAACAUAUAUAUCUAUUUAACAAAAUAGAACUUAUUUUAAAUUUCUUAUUCACCCUAAUAAAUUAUUUGGACAGUCCAAAAUUUGGGAUAAAUCACACUGUCUAUGUAGUGCCGGAGGCACGGGACACAACUAGUUUAUAUAUAUAUAUAUACGAAUCUUAAACAACGAACUGACUAUAGUGACAAUUUUUUGAACUAUAGCGACGGUUGUCGCCAGUCAUUGACAUUAUAUGUUAUAACGACGAAAAUAAUAAUAAUUAUAACUGUUUAUAUUUAAGGUUCGCUGGAGAAAAGAACCGAUAUACAUGUCAUAUAUAAAAUAAAAAAAAAUAAUUAUUUACUUUUAUUUCUGAUGCCUUACUAUCUAUAUUAUUUUACUAUAAGGUGUAGUUAAACUUAAUUUCACAUAAUAAUAUAGAUUAAAAAAAGACAAAUACAGUAGUAAUUUGGAUUUCAUGAAUUUAUAUAAUAACAUAAAUAAGUAAAAAAUAAAAAAUAAAAAAGAAGAGAGUUUGAAGCCGGCUUUAGUUGAAACUCGAAGGCAGUUGUUUAUAACUAUUUCUCCCCUGCUUUUUGUCAGUCAGUAGCCCCAACACUUGCAUACAAACCUCGCAUCCUCAGAUCCGUCGCCAUGGCCAUGGCGAUUAGGGUUUUCGUCUUUCUUCUACUAUUUUUAUCCGCCUUAACCAUCUCCUUUUCUCUCUACGAAGAUCAAGUCGGACUUACGGACUGGUUUCUCUCUCCUCUUUGCGUAUAUUAAAAUACUAUACGUGUUUAAUUGUACUGGCAGUUUAAUCAGCUUAAUGUUUUGAAUUCUGUGAUUAUUGAAUUGGAUUUUGAUUUGAUGUUUUUAGGCAUCAGCAGUAUAUAGGAAAAGUGAAGCAAGCAGUGUUUCAGACUCAAAAGGCGGGAAGGAAGCGAGUUGUGGUCUCCACAGAAGAGAAUGUCAUCGCUUCGCUUGAUCUCCGGCGCGGAGAGAUUUGUAAGCUCUAUUUUUNNNNNNNNNNNNNNNNNNNNNNNNNNNNNNNNNNNNNNNNNNNNNNNNNNNNNNNNNNNNNNNNNNNNNNNNNNNNNNNNNNNNNNNNNNNNNNNNNNNNAAGUGCAGUAGCUUCAAUUAUUCAAUCUUUGGGUGAAGACCCGCUAAGAAAAGAACUUAUAGGAACUCCUACUCGUUUUGUGAAGUGGCUGAUGAACUUCAAAAACACUGAUCUCGAGAUGAAGCUAAUUUUGGAGCUGGAGUCGGUCCCAUUGGAAAAUCCCUUUUAUAGUCGAUAGUGCAUUUCCAUGGUUUCAAGCUUCAAGUGCAGGAAAGACUCACUAGACAGAUUGUUGAAACUAUUUAUUUCGCAUAGGCCAUGACCUCUGGUUCAUACUCCGCAUAGGCCAUUUUGGAUCUUCAUUUUGAAACCUCUGGUUCUCCUAGGCCAUGACCUCAAAGGCUCGAACUGGAAACAGAUCUGGUCUUCGCCGCCACCACCU